AUGAGUGUGAUGCUAGGCUGUGAGGGACCAUGGAAGAAGCCACACUCUGAAUUUCUCUUAUCUCUCUUCUAUAAGAUGAAGCCAGCAUUUGCAGCUCUUCUACUUGUGUGUCUUAUUCUCUCCUCAUCUAUGUUUGAAAUCACAGCACUUGGUGUUGGUGCAGGUAGUUUCUGCUCGGCAAAAUGCAGACAGAGGUGCUCGAAAGCUGGGAGGAGAGACAUGUGCUUGAAUUUCUGUGGAAUUUGUUGCAGUAAGUUUGAUCAGUUUUUAUCAGAAUGGGAAUAA